rnacentral:misc_RNA from 1 species
CGCUUUAUCACAGAUUUUAUGUAUUGGGAACUUUACAAAGAUCCAUUUGUUGAUUUAAGAAUAUAUGACAUUAUCAGAGUCAUAAGUGUGUUUUGAACAUGUUAAGUUUUUUUUUAUCUAUUAAAAUGUCGUUGACUUUAUCAUAAUUAAGUGUUUCUAUAUAUUACAUACAUUUGUGGUCAGUUUACACUGCGGCAGAUCAUAUUAAUUAAAAUUUACAUACGAUUAUUUAUUUUUUUUUAUCAAUUUACAACUCGUAAUCAACUUCGUAAUCAACAACUACAAUAUGAACGUUGUUCCAGGAACAGCUUCCUUAUUAGGAGAACUUGACAAAAAACUAAUGGUUUUACUGAGGGAUGGUAGAACAUUAAUUGGAUACCUCAGAAGCGUUGAUCAAUUUGCUAAUAUAGUACUUCAUCGUACCAUUGAAAGAAUUCAUGUAGGUAAAGAAUACGGAGAUAUUCCAAGAGGCAUAUUUAUUGUCAGAGGAGAGAAUGUUGUACUAUUAGGAGAAAUCGAUAGGGAAAAAGAAAAAGAUUUACCAUUGACAGAAGUAUCGGUGGAUGAUAUUCUAGAUGCGCAAAGAAGAGAACAAGAAAUGAAACAAGAUCAAAAACGCUUGAUGAACAAGGCUUUGAAAGAGCGCGGUCUUUCAUAUAUUCCAGAUUUGGGUCACGAUGAUAUGUUCUGACCCACGUCUACAUCUCCGGGCACUACUUUAGAAUCAUCUCCUACAUCUUCACAUCUUUUUGAGUCAUUACGCUGUAAACUAGUUCCUCGUUUUCUUGGAGAAACAAUUUCUUCGAUUUUCUCUGAAGAGUCAUUAGCGCUAUUUGCACUACCAGAGGCUAUACCAGACGUGUCAGAUUCUGGAUUGUUUCCAUCUAAGCAACGAAAUAUUGGAAAUACUGGCUCAGAAUUUUGUCUAACCAAUUCACUGCUAUCAACAGUAUCUGGUGUAACUUGAGAAGAAUACAUGUCCGG